AAAAUUCCUGCCCUGGAUCAAUACAAAACAGUUUCGUUCAUUGAGAGCUCGUUUAUUCUUAUUGAUUCUCGGCAUCGAACAAUCGACUAAACAAUCCAACGUCGCUUAUCAAAAAGUAACAUUAUUCGCCGUCAAUUAGACUUUGAAAUCAGAGAUUGUCAUGAGCUCCAGCAGUUUGAUUUUGUGCUGCUGUGUUAUUAUAACACUUUUGACAAUGCAGAUCCCGGUGCUUCGGUGCGUUCCUUGGCGGGACUACGGAUCGGAUGAAAGAUUGAUAUUUAGCGCAUCGAACUUUCCUACGCCUCGUCCUACCAGAGCUACAAACAACUCGGCGACAUCCUUCCAGGUAGGGUCUCGAUCAAAUUUCGUUUCGACCUGCAAAGGAGGAGAGAUUUACAGGGAUGGAGAAUGCCGGCGAAAGUUUCCCGCAAAACCAAUUGCCCAACGCAAAGGGCUGAGAUAAAUAAUCUCCACUGUUGGCGAUCCGGAGCCAGCGUCACCUCUUGCUGCAGGCCAAGGUUUUCGUCAACUGUGCGGAUUUCAGCGGCUAGACUACGCUGCCACGAGCUUCUGGGCCUGCCUCUUCUUCGAUGCCCAUCCGGAUUCCAGUCAAGCGCCUCUCUACAAAUUUCGUUUUCAUCUCUCCGCAGCGUGUGCCCAAUCCAUCUCCACUUACGUUUCCGAAUUUCAAUGUAUAGCGCUUUUUGAUGACACCGGCGAUAUAGUUCCUCAUUUGAGAUCCAGUUGCCAGGCCACCAAGCGCGGAUGAUACUCCGCAGACAGCGAUUCACAAAAACUUGCAGUUUUCAUGUCGUGCACCAAGUUUCGCACCCGUACAACAAUAAGGAAUUGAAGUUUGAGUAGAAGAUAUGAAUUUUCGUUCGGGCUUUUAUGAUCCGGGUUUCGAUGUCUGUCUUGGCAAGCUCCAUUUUAUUUUAUGACACCAAAUACAGUUAUUACUUUAUAACCAAUAUACCUCACUCUUCAAAAAACAAGACGACACAACACGCCAUCAUGUGGAGAAAGAUCUUACUAUCAUGUAUAAACAUCGACGAUCCUAACAACUUCUGGCGGAUUUCUGACUUGUAGGUUGUGCUGUUGCCGCUGGUGGUUACCCGGAUCGGCAAAUUAGACCGAAAUCGGUUGGAUUUCAGCUCGUUCAACCCUUGAAUCGGUUAGAAAUCUGACCAUAAAUCCAACCGAAUUCGGACGAAUUCAGUGCUCUGGUGACACAACUUUCCUGACGACGCUAAGUUUUUGCGAUUGAGCUGUCAAAAUAACCAAAUGGUCAGGAAAAUCUAACAGAAUUCCAAUAAAAACCGGAAAGAUUUAAACUGACAACUAAUAUUUUGACAGCAAUCGGUCCGGUUGCGAAUUCGUUCCGAUCUGGGUAUGAUAGUGGUACUAUCAGUGACUUUAGUAGGAACUUUCGUCAGUAGGUGGUGCUGCCAUGCGUGUCCUUGGUGAGAUAUAUGGAGAAGGCU